ACAGGAUUUUAAAGAGCUUGUUGCAAGUCCAGAGUUGUGCACAGCUUCUGCCUAUUCUGUUAUUGUAGAGAUGUUUGACUCUGGUCACCAGGGCUUGUGCCAGAAGCUUCCUGCUUGUUAAAAUCCUGCUUCUCUAGGAGUCAGUACAGUGAGCUGGUUAAAGCUGUGCUCACAGCUUCUCUGACUCCCAGCCACUGAGGAGCUGCUUAGCACAUGUGGAGCUGAAAGUGGCACCUCACUUGCAGCAAGGGAUGAACUGUUAGCUGAAGCAAUCUCUUGCACAAAUGUGCUUUCCAUAGUUUGCAGAUUUCAGCAGGUAGUGCUUUUUUGCUUGUAUAAGAUGAAGUGUCACAUCAUGGGAUCUUUAGUCCCAGACCUCAGGCUUUUCCCUCACAUGAGACAUGAGAGCACUGAGGAGUAUAACCUCAUGUGCUGCAUUUUUGCCUUUGUGCCUUGUACUGUAGCUUUAACCUACUGGGGCUGUCUCCUGAAACGGGGAGAAUUUUUUGCUCCUAGUUAAAUUUGGAAAUGUAAGCACAGAAAGUGUUGCAGAGAUAUCCUUCCAAAUGCCUGGAAGUUUUCCUGUGGGGCCAUCACAAUGUAUUGUGUAUUGAUUAUAAUGCUUGGUGCCAUUAUGAUGCAUUUUGUCAAAGAUCCCCUCUCAUUAGGCUGUCAGUGCUGGGAAGUGACACAAUGCAGAAGACAUUAGGGUUUACCAUGUCAAUUCUUUGUAUUAUUUAAGAGAUAGUGUCAGUGGAAGAGUGUGUUAUGCCAGAUAAUGGUCUCCUGCUGCUGGAGAAGUGCCAGGGUGAUGUGGAUGCAUUUAUGGAAGAGGCAAAGCUUCAUUUCACUUGGUAAGACACUUUCUGGAUGCUGAUGUUCAGAAUUCUGAGCUGGGUAAGUGCUGUCAUUUCCACCCUCCCCAGGGCUGAAGGAAAGGAAGUGUUCACACUAGCAUUUCCUAAAGGUAAAAAUUGAAUUCAAAAACUCAGCCCCAUUAAUCAUGUUCCCAUAGUCAGAUAAUCUCAUCUGCCCUUAAAUUAAGGCUUUUCAAUGGCAGCUUCUCAUGGGAGAAGAGGAGGAGCUAUUGCACUUAACUUUGGCUUCUAACUAAGUACAGUUGGUGUGGGGGUAAAAACACAGCAUAAGUUAGUUAUCUAUUUUUACUCUCAUUUGUCUUUCAUGUUAGGAGGAAGUUCCUGCUGCUGAUGUUUCUGUGUGAGACUCUUUGCCUUCACAAUUGAUUCUUUUAUCAGCACAGAAUCUGGUCAUGUAUCUACUGAAAGUUUGUAACCAGUUCAAAAUAUUUUUUGUGUGUGUUGAUAAAGUAGAAAUCCCAUUUCUACACAAGACACACUAGAAUAGGGGAAAAAUUCACUUUUAUGCUUAUUCUAGUCAGGUGGUGUUGUUAUCAAACUUUUUUUGCAUAUGUGCCUUAGAUACUAAAGGUUGUGGGAUGUUUUGUUCCUAAUGUAUUUCACCUGAUAAAGACUUGUUUGCCUAUUCCAUAGUAAAUGCAUAUGUAAGCAAGAAGUGGAUUAAUGGCUUGGGCUCUAGUCCUUUGGUAAUGUUCUACCAGGUUACUAGAUAAAAAGUUAUUCUAAAAAACAUUGUUGAAGAUGUGACAUUCAAAACCUUGUUUGUAGGAGAGGAAGAACAAAGUAGCAGUGUUUGAAUGAAGGGAAGGGGAUGUCUAGGUGAUGUACAGGUAAAAAAAUCUUCAACCUGAAAUUGCAAUUGGCAGCAGCAUUGCCAAUAUUCAGUGCACAUAUCUUAGCACCAACUUUCUGCCAUUUCAAGCCCCUCUCUUACUCUGCUCUCUGAGUGCAUUUUUAUGGCUUUAAUUUAAACGAGUGCUUCUUGAUAUCUUGUUUACAAAGCUGCCAAAGUGAAAAAUACCUGUAUUAUAUGAGGCUUGCAGUUCCAGAGUUAUCUCUGCACUACAACACAACAUCAUUAUCCAGUCUGCCCCUUAUCACUCAGCUGGUAAUACAGACUACAGAGAGACUUGUGCCACUUUUGUUACAGCUUUAUAUGCUCAGGCUUAUUGGUGAUAUCUUCCUCUCCAACUUUGUAAAGAUCUUCAAACUGGUACAAGCCUGAGACUGUUCUUGAAAGAUUAGAUUCU